GACGAACGCUGGCGGCGCGCCUAACACAUGCAAGUCGAACGAGCGAGAGAGAGCUUGCUUUCUCGAGCGAGUGGCGAACGGGUGAGUAACGCGUGAGGAACCUGCCUCAAAGAGGGGGACAACAGUUGGAAACGACUGCUAAUACCGCAUAAGCCCACGGGUCGGCAUCGACCAGAGGGAAAAGGAGCAAUCCGCUUUGAGAUGGCCUCGCGUCCGAUUAGCUAGUUGGUGAGGUAACGGCCCACCAAGGCGACGAUCGGUAGCCGGACUGAGAGGUUGAACGGCCACAUUGGGACUGAGACACGGCCCAGACUCCUACGGGAGGCAGCAGUGGGGAAUAUUGCACAAUGGGGGAAACCCUGAUGCAGCGACGCCGCGUGGAGGAAGAAGGUCUUCGGAUUGUAAACUCCUGUUGUUGGGGAAGAUAAUGACGGUACCCAACAAGGAAGUGACGGCUAACUACGUGCCAGCAGCCGCGGUAAAACGUAGGUCACAAGCGUUGUCCGGAAUUACUGGGUGUAAAGGGAGCGCAGGCGGGAAGACAAGUUGGAAGUGAAAUCUAUGGGCUCAACCCAUAAACUGCUUUCAAAACUGUUUUUCUUGAGUAGUGCAGAGGUAGGCGGAAUUCCCGGUGUAGCGGUGGAAUGCGUAGAUAUCGGGAGGAACACCAGUGGCGAAGGCGGCCUACUGGACACCAACUGACGCUGAGGCUCGAAAGUGUGGGUAGCAAACAGGAUUAGAUACCCUGGUAGUCCACACCGUAAACGAUGAUUACUAGGUGUUGGAGGAUUGACCCCUUCAGUGCCGCAGUUAACACAAUAAGUAAUCCACCUGGGGAGUACGACCGCAAGGUUGAAACUCAAAGGAAUUGACGGGGGCCCGCACAAGCAGUGGAGUAUGUGGUUUAAUUCGACGCAACGCGAAGAACCUUACCAAGUCUUGACAUCCCUUGACGAUGCUGGAAACAGUAUUUCUCUUCGGAGCAAGGAGACAGGUGGUGCAUGGUUGUCGUCAGCUCGUGUCGUGAGAUGUUGGGUUAAGUCCCGCAACGAGCGCAACCCUUAUGGUCAGUUACUACGCAAGAGGACUCUGGCCAGACUGCCGUUGACAAAACGGAGGAAGGUGGGGAUGACGUCAAAUCAUCAUGCCCUUUAUGACUUGGGCUACACACGUACUACAAUGGCGUUAAACAAAGAGAAGCAAGACCGCGAGGUGGAGCAAAACUCAGAAACAACGUCCCAGUUCGGACUGCAGGCUGCAACUCGCCUGCACGAAGUCGGAAUUGCUAGUAAUCGUGGAUCAGCAUGCC
rnacentral:rRNA from 1 species